UUUCAAGUCUUUAAGAGCAAACGGUGAAUGCCUUGGCAUCUGGAGCCGAAGAAGGACGUAGCAAUCUGCGAUAAGCCUCGGGGAGUGGAUAAGCACACUUUGAUCCGAGGGUGUCCGAAUGGGGAAACCCCGCUGGGCGGCAUGCCGACCCAGUGACUCCCGCCUGAAUAUAUAGGGCGGGUAGAGGGAACGUGGGGAAGUGAAACAUCUCAGUACCCACAGGAAGAGAAAGCAACCGCGAUUCCGUUAGUAGUGGCGAGCGAAACCGGAACAGGCUAAACCGAGUACGUGUGAUAUCCGGCAGGAGUUGCGUAUUCGGGGUUGUGGGACUUUUCAGGCUGCUCUGCCGAGCAGCCGGCGUUACAAGAAGGUAUAGACGAAUGGCAUUGAAAGGCCAGUCAUAGAGGGUGUGAACCCCGUAGUCGAAAUGCCUCCCUUGGCGCGAAGAGUAUCCCAAGUAGCACGGGGCCCGAGAAAUCCCGUGUGAAUCUGUCAGGACCACCUGAUAAGCCUAAAUACUCCCAGAUGACCGAUAGCGGACAAGUACCGUGAGGGAAAGGUGAAAAGUACCCCGGGAGGGGAGUGAAAUAGUACCUGAAACCGUUUGCUUACAAACCGUUGGAGCCUCCUUAGCAGGGGUGACAGCG
rnacentral:rRNA from 1 species